rnacentral:lncRNA from 1 species
CGUAAGUGGUUUGAAGCCUGGAGAGUGAAGUAGGGCAGAUGCAAACAUGGCGCUUGUCUCCCUCUGACACUUCAGGGGGCUGAGCCGUGUCACAGGGACUGCCAGUCAAGGCCUCAGGACCAACUCACGUGGCAGUUUUAGUAACCGUCUGGAUGCAGAGGUUCCAGUGUCUACACCGCCGUGAGCCUGCUGCCCCUUUCCAGGUCUGUAUGAUUUGCUGUCCCUGCAGACCCGCUGUGUUCAAAAGGGAUGGUCAGCAGUGACAACCACGGUCUCUCGGACUUGUCUUCGCCUCUUCCAAGCCUCGGACAGUUGCUUACAUGUUUGUUGUUGGGAUUCUUCCUCACAUACAUAAACAUCGAGUGUUUGAAGAUAUCAGAAAUUGUUUCCCCAUAAUUGGGCAACUUUCUGAAAAUGUUUUCCCAGACUUCCUUGGAGACUGUUUCUUCUUUUAUUAGAAUGAACGAAGCUGACCCUCGGAGUGCAAGCUGGGGCAGAAGGGUUUAGCUAGGUCCCUCUGUCCACAGACAAGUCAGGAAGGCAAGGGGCUCCAUCAGCACAGAACCCCAGGCCUGCCUGCUGACCAACACCUCAUAUGCACUGCAUAACCACGCCAGCCCCACCUAAUCGCAUCCCCAGAGCCGUGCGUACAUGGACUCUGGCUCAAGUGCUUCUUGACUUAAAAUUUCACCGAAAGCCGAACCGUGCUUUGAUCUACCCUGCACCCGACAUGACAAGAGGAGCCAAAGGCCUGAGGGAGUGACUGGAUUAUUGCUGGGCCCCAGACACCCAACAUUACUCAAGGCACCGGAUACCAACCUGCAAAAGACCUGUUUCGUGAUAUCUGACUGUUCAGAACUAUUGUUUUGGUCAAGAACACAGCAUAUAAAAUGCCCCCUAAGU